GAUUUAAGACAUAUAAAUUAUGAUUCUUUUUGUUGAUUCUGUAGGAGUUUCGUGGUUUCUUGAAGGACUUGCAGGAUUGGGACAACAAACCAAAGGGUCGAGCUCAGAAGGCUGCAAAAUCAAUGACAGGAACUGUUGAUGAAGAUAAGGCGGAUUUUUCAAAAUUUCCUGCGUCUGAAGUAAAAAAGAUUAAUGAAAAGAUAGUUUCUUCAAGAGAAAACAGUGAGCGUUUUGGUUAUCUUAGAAAUUCGGGUGCAUUUGAUCUAUCGAGUAGCUUCUUAAAUAAGGAGAAAUUGCCAGAUGCUACUUCAGAGAAGGAAUUGGGCAAUGAAUAUUUUAAGCAAAAGAAGUUCCAUGAAGCCAUUGAGUGCUACUCAAGAAGCAUUGCAUUCUCUCCUACGUCAGUUGCUUUUGCCAAUAGAGCUAUGGCAUAUCUUAAAGUGAAGAAAUUUGUGGAAGCAGAGAACGACUGUACAGAUGCUCUAAGUUUAGAUGAUCGCUAUGUUAAAGCAUAUUCACGUCGACUUACAGCUAGAAAAGAACUAGGAAAGCUUGAAGAAGCUAUGGAAGAUGCUGACUUUGCUGUGAGACUUGAGCCAAAUAAUCCAGAAAUCAGGAAGCAGUUUGGUGAAAUAAAGGCAAUGUUGGAAAGGAAAUUAAUCCAGAAUGUUUCUGCUGAAAAAAAUUCAAGUGCAGCGUCAAAAGUGUCUAAAGCUAAGGGUGUCUACCCUGUCACUGGUAAAACCCAAAAUGCGGAAGCUUCUGUUGCUCAGAUAAUGGACUGUGAGGUGAAUUCUAGCAACCGAAUGAUUUCUCUUGAGAAUAUCGAUAGAAGUAAAAGUUUCAUCACUGAAAGCAAGAAUGAUUCACGUUCCGUUAAUGAACCCGGAGAAAGCGUAGCAUCAAAAUUGAAUGCCAACAUUGCUAAGGAACCUAAUGGUGGCAACGACAAGCAUGCAUUGAGGACAUCAGUGCAGGAUCUUGCAUCUCGGGCUGCUUCCCGUGUUAUGGCAACUGCUCCAAAGAUUAUCGGUACUCCAACAUCUGCUUACCAGUUUGAGGUUUUGUGGCGGUCACUUUCUAAUGCCUCAGCAAAGCAGGCCCAGUUGUUGAAGACAAUUCCGCCAUCUGAUUUACCCAAAAUUUUUAAAAAUGCACUAUCUGCUCCUCUACUGAUUGAGAUAAUUAAAUGCAUAGCUACAUUCUUCAGGGAUGACACUGUUUUUGCCGUGAGUAUGAUGGAUAAUUUAACCUAUGUUCCUCGGUUUGACAUGAUAAUUAUGUGCCUUUCUGCAAUGGAUCGAGCUGAACUUCUCAGAUUAUGGGAUGAAGUGUUCUUAUGUGGCCAGAUUCAGGAGGAUCUAAGGAUGGUACUUGUUAGGUUGAGGCCCAAGUACUGCUACGGAGAAUGGGAAUCUCAUAUUCUGAGUUCUUAGGAGAUGGCCAAGAGAUGCACGCUCUUAUGCAAAUGCUUAAAGACCAGUGAAAUUAUGUUUAUUUUAUUUUCUCAUGGGAUUCAAUUUAAGAGGCAGACUGAGCCUACCAGUAACUCAGAACAAAGAACGCAAUUGGAAUUGCUAGUUCAGGGUGGUUAGCUGUGUUCGAUAGUAAUACUAUUAAGGAAUUCCUCGUGGAAAAUCUUAAUAAGUACUUUUUUAUCACUCUUUAUUUCACUUUGAGAUUUGUGUAGAUAUUUCUUGUUAAUCUAAACAUGAAAUGCCGGAAUGAGUUGACCAUUAGGCUAGUUUUGGAUAUCUUGACCUGUGUUGUGUUUAGUCGAUUGUGUUGCAGUAACCAUGGAUGAAGCCAGUCCAAACAAAUCUUCAGUAUUUAUGAAAGUUCAGAAAAAUCUUAUAAUUCUGAGAUGAUUCUACCAAAAGUUCUGAUUGUAAAUGAUAAAACUAUAAGUAUAACGUUCUGAAUAUUAA